rnacentral:rRNA from 1 species
AGAGUUUGGAUCCUGGCUCAGGACGAACGCUGGCGGCGUGCCUAACACAUGCAAGUCGAACCGGAAACAGCUUAGAGCUUGCUUUGAGCUGUUUUAGUGGCGGACGGGUGAGUAACGCGUGAGGAACCUGCCUUUCAGAGGGGGAUAACCGUCUGGAAACGGACGCUAAUACCGCAUGAUAUUCCGGAGCCGCAUGGUUUUGGAAUCAAAGGAGCAAUCCGCUGAAAGAUGGACUCGCGUCCGAUUAGCCAGUUGGCGGGGUAACGGCCCACCAAAGCAACGAUCGGUAGCCGGACUGAGAGGUUGAACGGCCACAUUGGGACUGAGACACGGCCCAGACUCCUACGGGAGGCAGCAGUGGGGGAUAUUGCACAAUGGAGGAAACUCUGAUGCAGCAACGCCGCGUGAGGGAAGAAGGUCUUCGGAUUGUAAACCUUUGUCCCCGGUGACGAUAAUGACGGUAGCCGAGGAGGAAGCUCCGGCUAACUACGUGCCAGCAGCCGCGGUAAUACGUAGGGAGCGAGCGUUGUCCCGAUUACUGGGUGUAAGGGUGCGUAGGCGGCUCUGCAAGUCAGGUGUGAAAGCCAUCGGCUAAACUGAUGGACUGCAUUUGAAACUGUGGACCUGAGUGAGCAAGGCCGA